rnacentral:lncRNA from 1 species
UCGAACUCCUACAAGGGCUGGACUCCGAGCUUCUACUGCAAGCGAUCUACUCCGAGCUUCUACUGUGAGUGAUCUACUCCGAGCUUCUACUGCAAGCGAUCUACUCCGAGCUUCUACUGCAAGUGAUCUACUCUGAGCUUCUACUGCAAGCAAUCUACUCCGAGCUUCUACUGCAAGCUUCGGCUGAGCUUCCUCGACAAAUGAUCCCCAUCCGGGCUUCUAUAGAAAUCGGACUCCGAUCGAACUUCUAUAGCGGA